rnacentral:tRNA from 1 species
GCCUGUAGCCGCUCCGGAGAACGUAUCCUCCGGAGCGGAAGGUCGCACGUUCGAAUCGUGCCGGGCGCA